CCUCAAAAUAUUAUAAACGUGUUCAUUUUGUGUUGUAAAGUUUUCAUGUUUAGAGAAGUUUUUCAGCAAAUGGGUAAUGUAAAACCAAUCACAAACUAAAAAUCUCUUAAACAUAACAAAACAAAAGAAGAAAAAACGUCUGUAUUGCGCUGCAAACACUCAUAACCUUACUACUCAGUGUAUAUUGAUGGUGUAGUUGCAGGUGUUUGUAAAACUGGCACUGCUAAAGAAAAGCGCUGAGCUGCAGGAAAUUCCGGAAACCCGACGCUAAUAGGAAGUGACUCGGCACGUAGCGCCGACAGGCUACCGGCAAACACACAACAAUAGACUGUAGGCGGAUGUGGAUGGAACUGCGAGUGGAACUUCGAUGUCGAAGGAGCGGAAUGUAAUAAUCGACAGGAUCGGCAACAGCAAACGCCACUUGACCCCAGACCCCCGUGCGCCACGUCCUAGCUACGGGCCGCGGCGAUGAUGGUUACUUAGCAACUAUUAAUCACAUUCUAUCGUUAGCAUCGGCUUACAGCCGGGAUAUUAUAACCCGAUAUGCAGCGGGAUGAAUCGUUUUAUGUUUUCCCUGCGGCCCUGCGAUUACAUAUCGUGCUUCUUCUAUGGUGUGCUGAAUUUUAUUGCUUUCACCCCUGGUAACCUACCUGGCUGUAUGCAUAUCUUGAAUAAUACAAGUACCUAAGCUAGCUUAAUAUUGCAUAGAGAAUAAUCAUAAAGAAAAAAGCACAACUUAA